rnacentral:snoRNA from 1 species
GUUUAUGAUGAGAAAAUGUCCUUAGAGACAAACUAUAAACCCAGCUCUUCGAUAUUUUAGAUGAGACGAAAAAUUGACAAACGCUCUGAGC